AAGAAGCACAAAACCAACCUCCGAAAAAUGCCGCUCAAUCUGGUUGGCGAACUUUGAAGAACAAUUCCGAGGGAAUCAUUGAUGGCAAAGGCGAGGCCUAAGCAAAUAUGAAUGGUUCUGAAAAAGCACAAUCGGAAACGAAAUGGCAACACCAGAAAUUGGAAAGGAAUCUACUAAGGCUCCCACAAUUGAUGGAUCCAAUGCUUUAAAA